AUUGAACGCUGGCGGCAGGCCUAACACAUGCAAGUCGAGCGAGCGGCGGACGGGUGAGUAAUGUAUAGGGACUGCUCGAUAGAGGGGGAUAACUACUGGAAACGGUAACUAAUGCCGCAUACUAUCGGAUAACCCAUAUGGGAUUAGCUAGUAGGUUAGGUAAUGGCUCACCUAGGCAACGAUCCCUAGCUGGUCUGAGAGGAUGAUCGGCCACACGGGGACUGAGACACGGCCCAGACUCCUACGGAGGCAGCAGUGGGGAAUAUUGCACAAUGGGCGCAAGCCUGAUGCAGCCAUGCCGCGUGUAUGAAGAAGGCCCUAGGGUUGUAAAGUACUUUCAGUAGGGAGGCGUUACCGACAGAAGAAGCACCGGCUAACUCCGUGCCAGCAGCCGCGGUAAUAC
rnacentral:rRNA from 1 species